rnacentral:rRNA from 1 species
GUGCAGCAGGCGAGAAUACUCCACAAUGCGCGAAAGCGCGGUGGGGCUAUCCCGAGUGCCGUCCGCUGAGGAUGGCUUUUCUCCAGUGUAAGGAGCUGGAGGAAUAAGGAGAGGGCAAGUCUGGUGUCAGGCCGCCGCGGUAAUACCAGCUCUCCGAGUGGUAGGGACGUUUAUUGGGCGUUAAAGCGUCCGUAGCCGGCUCAACAAGUCCUCCGUUAAAUCCAGCGAUUCAAUCGUUGGACUGCGGGGGGAUACUGUUGGGCUAGGGGACGGGAGAGGCCGACGGUAUU